rnacentral:rRNA from 2 species
AAUACAUGCUAAAAACCUCGACUUCGGAAGGGGUGUAUUUAUUAGAUAAAAAACCAAUGCCCUUCGGGGCUCCUUGGUGAUUCAUAAUAACUUAACGAAUCGCAUGGCCUUGUGCCGGCGAUGGUUCAUUCAAAUUUCUGCCCUAUCAACUUUCGAUGGUAUGGUCUUGGCUUACCAUGGUUUCAACGGGUAACGGGGAAUUAGGGUUCUAUUCCGGAGAGGGAGCCUGAGAAACGGCUACCACAUCCAAGGAAGGCAGCAGGCGCGCAAAUUACCCAAUCCCGACACGGGGAGGUAGUGACAAUAAAUACUGAUACAGGGCUCUUUUGGGUCUUGUAAUUGGAAUGAGUACAAUUUAAAUCCCUUAACGAGGAACAAUUGGAGGGCAAGUCUGGUGCCAGCAGCCGCGGUAAUUCCAGCUCCAAUAGCGUAUAUUAAAGUUGUUGCAGUUAAAAAGCUCGUAGUUGAACCUUGGGCCUGGCUGGCCGGUCCGCCUCACCGCGUGCACUGGUCCGGCCGGGUCUUUCCUUCUGAGGAGCCGCAUGCCCUUCACUGGGUGUGUCGGGGAAUCAGGACUUUUACUUUGAAAAAAUUAGAGUGUUCAAAGCAGGCCUAUGCUCGAAUACAUUAGCAUGGAAUAAUAGAAUAGGACGUGUGGUUCUAUUUUGUUGGUUUCUAGGACCGCCGUAAUGAUUAAUAGGGAUAGUCGGGGGCAUCAGUAUUCAAUUGUCAGAGGUGAAAUUCUUGGAUUUAUUGAAGACUAACUACUGCGAAAGCAUUUGCCAAGGAUGUUUUCAUUAAUCAGUGAACGAAAGUUAGGGGAUCGAAGACGAUCAGAUACCGUCGUAGUCUUAACCAUAAACUAUGCCGACUAGGGAUCGGGCGAUGUU